AGACGUCUACAUUAGACUACCCGGUAGUCCCAGCCGUAAACUAUGCGCGUUAGGUGUAUCGGUGACCACGAGUCACCGAGGUGCCGAAGGGAAACCGUGAAACGUGCCGCCUGGGAAGUACGGUCGCAAGGCUAGAAACUUAAAGGAAUUGGCGGGGAGCACCACAACGGGUGGAGCCUGCGGUUUAAUUGGACUCAACGCCGGGAAGCUCACCGGAUAGGACAGCAGAAUGAUUGCCGGGCUGAAGACCCUGCAUGACUAGCUG
rnacentral:rRNA from 1 species